AGCAAAUAGAUACCCAGGUAGUCCACGCCGUAAACGAUGAGUGCUAGGUGUCACGGGCUUUGACCCUCGUGGUGCCGUAGCUAACGCAAUAAGCACUCCGCCUGGGGAGUACGGUCGCAAGACUAAAACUCAAAGGAAUUGACGGGGGUCCCGGCACAAGCGGUGGAGCAUGUGGUUUAAUUCGACGCGACGCGCAGAACCUUACCUGGGCUAGAAAACCACAGGAACCUGGGUGAAAAACCUCGGGGGUUGCCCUUCGGGGUAAGUCUGUGGUUAGGUUGUUGCAUGGCUGUCGUCAGCUCGUGUCGUGAGAUGUUGGGUUAAG
rnacentral:rRNA from 1 species